ACGGAAGGCAGCAGUGGGGGAUAUUGGGCAAUGGCGCAAGCCUGACCCAGCAACGCCGCGUGAAGGAUGAAGGUCCUCGGAUUGUAAACUUCUUUGAUCAGGGACGAAUUUUGACGGUACCUGACGAACAAGUCACGGCUAACUACGUGCCAGCAGCCGCGGUAAUACGUAGGUGACAAGCGUUAUCCGGAUUUACUGGGUGUAAAGGGCGUGUAGGUGGUUUAGCAAGUCAGAAGUGAAAUUCCCGGGCUUAACUUGGGCGCUGCUUCUGAAACUGCUUUACUUGAGUACUGGAGAGGAUAGUGGAAUUCCUAGUGUAGCGGUAAAAUGCGCAGAUAUUAGGAGGAACACCGGUGGCGAAGGCGGCUAUCUGGACAGUAACUGACGCUGAGGCGCGAAAGCACGGGGAGCAAACAGGAUUAGAUACCCUGGUA
rnacentral:rRNA from 1 species